rnacentral:rRNA from 1 species
UACGAAGGGGGGCUAGCGUUGCUCGGAAUCACUGGGCGUAAAGCGCACGUAGGCGGCUUUGUAAGUUAGAGGUGAAAGCCCAGGGCUUAACCCUGGAAUUGCCUUUAAGACUGCAUCGCUAGAAUCGUGGAGAGGUGAGUGGAAUUCCGAGUGUAGAGGUGAAAUUCGUAGAUAUUCGGAAGAACACCAGUGGCGAAGGCGACUCACUGGACACGUAUUGACGCUGAGGUGCGAAAGCGUGGGGAGCAAACAGG